rnacentral:rRNA from 1 species
UACGGGGGGGGCAAGCGUUGUUCGGAAUUACUGGGCGUAAAGGGCUCGUAGGUGGCCAACUAAGUCAUACGUGAAAUCCCUCAGCUUAACUGGGGAACUGCGCCUGAUACUGGUUGGCUUGAGUUUGGGAGAGGGACGCGGAAUUCCAGGUGUAGCGGUGAAAUGCGUAGAUAUCUGGAGGAAUACCGGUGGCGAAGGCGGCAUCCUGGACCGACAUUGACGCUGAACGGCGAAAGCUAGGGGAGCAAACGGG